GCUUUUCUGGCGCGGCGUGUUUAAUGCUCUUCCUCUAUCUUCAUUUGAAGGUUAGAUUCUCGACAGGGUACUAAAAGCUCCAUAUGGAAAUCCCCGAUCCUCUGUUCUUCCCUGGCUAAUAAGAUGUGUUAGUGCAACAUCCAACAACCCAUCCAAAGAAUAUGAAAUUCUUAUCAAGUUGUGUCGAGUGCACGAAGCAAAAGUCGUAAUUCUGGGGAUUCCACCCAAAUUCUGAGAAAAUAAAGUAUAUGAUGUCAAAAGAUAGAUAAUGUAGCCCAGCUCAAGUAUUACCUGCAAGUGGGGCCAUCCAGUUGGGACUUGCUCUGCUGCCCCUGCUAUUUGGUAUACUGCACAAACCUCAUGAAGCAGAAUUAAUUUAUGCAGACAUGACAUGGUCAUGGUCAUGGUGUGUUCAUGUCCGUGACUAAUUAAAAUGAAAACGACCUUCCUAGGGACUUGGGGUCCCGGGUGUAGCCAAGAGCAUGUGGCUAGCUAGGUUUGAAGUGGAAUCGAGGAAUGGAGAUGGCGCUCAAAAAUACAAAAUCGUGGGCGCAAUAAAUUUCAUUAAAUCCAAUUAAGAGCGGUUGGUGGCGUCCGCGAGAAAAAGGCGGGAACGGCGCCACAGACAGCGACGGUAAAGCGGUUUGACUAUCACAACAUCCACUUGUGACUACUGAAAUCACUCCCGUCUUCCCCCUCCUCUUCCACACCUGCACCAUACUCAAUCAUAUGUAUAAUUGAAUAUAUAUAUAUAUAUAUUAUUCUUACAGUGACUGUACCAUGUAAUCGUAUGAUCAAGUUUAGGUUCAUUUGGCUCAGAUAACAAUCAUACGACAAAAAGACCAAAUUACUUUUUCUUUAUUCCAAGUUCGGAGACAAAAUAACAAGAUAAUAAAGUACACUAAGGUAUAGACUAAAAAAGAUAGUGAUGUGUGGAAUAUCCGUCAAAACAGGGGAAAAGAAAUUGAAGAAGAUGAUGAUAGAAAAUCCAGCAUGGUCGGAUUAUAUUUGGACUCAAUCGACGGUUAACAGCCGGCCGACGAGACACUUAAUUACAAUCACGAACAAUGAAAUUUUACAUAUAUAUAAUUCCUCGUAAGAUUUGGAUUUGUCUUUGUGUAAAAAUU